AAACAAAUACGAAAAAGACUACGAAUUUACAUGCUCUAACAUGUUUAUAGGAAAUUUUGCUUAUAGCGACAUACAUAACAAAUUAAUCUUCAAUCACCAAGCAUAAUCACAUAACCAAUUUCAUCAUUUUACCAUAACGUGCUUCUGGCCCAAAUCACGACCCAACCAAAAAUUGAUCGAAAUGGGCCCACAUGCCCUACUUUUCCAACCUGUGUGGCCCACACGGCCAGGCACACACUUGUGUGGCUCACAUGGUCAGGCACAUGGCAUAACCAAUUUCAUCAUUUUACCAUAACGUGCUUCUGGCCCAAAUCACGACCCAACCAAAAAUUGAUCGAAAUGGGCCCACAUGCCCUACUUUUCCAACCUGUGUGGCCCACACGGCCAGGCACACACUUGUGUGGCUCACAUGGUCAGGCACAUGACUAGGCACACAGUCGUGUGACGUCGACUGUCAAUUUUGAUUACGCACAAUUUCCCUAAUUUUUUAAGUUUACAGUCACACACCUGACUAUUUUUUGAAAUGUUGACACUAAAGUAGCAACCAAAUUCUGUAGACAACAACCACAACUUAAAUAAUUAAUGAUCACUUCCAAAAAAUCGACCCUUGCUUCCUACAGCAUUCGACCAAUAACAAUAGCGCAUUUGACCCUUUGCGAACUAAAUUAUCACAACUAGCCCCUAAACUUGGGCGUUUGAUUACUCACCCUUAGAAGCAGAGGUCUCCAACACACCUAAAUCACCAAAGGAAAGUGCACCUCAUGAUCCUCACCUAAUAGAAUUAUAAACCAUAAGAAUAACACCAUUAAACCAACAAUCCCCUCAAGUGAUACCGAGCCAACCCUCUUACAAUUAAAGCAAGAGAAAUGAUUAUACUUACUUAAGAAUUUAAUUAUAUUACUACACCAAAACUGCAUAUGACACACAACUAACACCAACACUAAAGGCUAGCGAUGACAAUGGGACGAUACAAAAUCAGGAUGGCGAAAAAUUGAAAGAACAAGGAAAAAGGAUAAUACCAGAAGAGAAAAUCACCAUGGUGGAGAAAGAAAGUUUGCAAAAAUCGAAUAGGGAAAAAUUGGAAAAGAAAAAGACAGGGAAAUUUCAACUGCAAAAAGAAAAUUGACGUGAAAACAAAAUGGAGAAGUGGGGAAAAUGGGGAAGGACACACAAUGGAGGAUUUUUAUAAGUCGAUGUUUUUUAUCAAAAUUUUAAAAAAUACAAAUAAUAUCCUAACCUAUCAAAUUUAUCAGUUAACACAAUCUGGUGGUUUAGAUUUUGCAUUUGACCCACACUCCAACAACAUGGGCGGCACAACAAAGGAAGAGAAAAUAUAAUUUCACUUUCGCACACAACUAGAUUCAAAAUUGGGACCAAAGCAAUUGCUAAGACCUUAUCACUAAACGAGUAAACUCAUUCUUGUCAACAAUUAAAAAAAAUUAUAGAUAAGCUAGGUGCAACUAACUAGAUAGAGGGAUAAAAAUAACCAAAAUUCAAAGGAAUCCAUAACACUAAAACACCGAACCAAAUCAAUUUACUUGACACAAUUUAACAUUUCAAAAUUUAAGAAACUUGGAACGUUAUGUUCGUAAGCUCAACCAAGUCUCGAAAAGGAUUGUAUAAUUUAACUAUGAAAUUUUUUGAUUAUGAUUGCUUGUAUUAUGAUGUAAUUCGAUUAAUAAAUGUUGUCACUAUUUCGAUAUCGACUGUAGCAUCCCAUAACUCAAACCUAACGAUUGGGUCAGGUGAGGGGUGUUACAAAUUUUUUUCAAGUAGGUUUUAUUUUUUGGCAGCUUCGACAACUGUACAAAUAGAUGACAAAAAAAUCAUUGAUUUCAGUACUAGUAACCCUGUAAAGCGCCAUAUAGAGAUAAGACAUAACCACGGACCGGAAGCCAAAUGACCUAACCAUAUUUAAAUUUGACAAAUAUGGGAGAUACAUGCAAAGCAUGAAAAUGCUAGACUUGUAUGCCAUUGAUAUUUUUCCAAUCAUGUAGAGCAUGUAAGCUCUAGAAUUUUUACCAAGCUCAUCGACCACUCCAUGGUUAGUUGAAGAUUGCUCAAGUAGUGUUUUGAAUCAAUUGAAUGAAACAUGACACCCAUUAAGAUCUUUAUUUUAUUCAAGAAUUGCGACCAAUAGUCCAUAAAGUAGUAGUAGCACCAGGAAUACAUGUUCUCUUAUUAUCAUGUAUCCAUAGAUUAGAAGGCCCAUCAGUAAUUGCAUCUUUUAGCAUUAUCAUUGUCUUGCUUGAAAAAAAUGAAAAGUAUAGAUCUCUAGCCUAUAUCUUUCAUUUAAGGCACCAAGAAACUCUAACAAGAACCAGAAGUAGGGCAUUCAAAGUAGAGUAUGUAAAUUUUUCGUAUGUAAUCACUAUACGAAUAGGCUAUUUGGGCAUUAAAACUUAAAUUAUGUCGAGCCCAAAUAAUUUAAUCUCUAUUUUGUUAAAAAUUGCUAAAAGAAUUAAUAUUUACAUUAUAAUCUAAAUAGAAUUUGAUAAUAACAAAAUCUAAUAAUAAAGUGAGUAAAUAUUUUACUGUGGUUGUAGCUUGAAAAGCUAUGUAUUAAUCUUGGAAUCAUAAUGAAGACAUUUUGGUAUGGAACAUUAGGUAGGAAAAUUCAAGAUUGAGGAGAGAAUUUAGAGUUAAAAAUAAUGAAGAGAAAAUGAUUAUAUUGGGUGUUGAGGUCCAACCGCCAAAAUUUAAUUCAAGUGGUUGGGCCUAUAUCAUAUAACUGGAGAGUUGUACUUUGAUACUUAUGGAUGUGGAAGUCAAGCUAAAGACAUUAAUACUAAUAGAUGGAGAGUUGUAAUCAAUAUCUUUAAGAUUGAUGAGCGAAUUUAAAGAUUAGGUUUAAUGUAACACCCCUUACCCGUAUCCAACACCGGAAUAGGGUACGAGGCAUUACCAAAACACAUACACUUGUAAAAGUAUUUAACCGAGUUAUAAAAUUUCAUUUAAAUUAAAACUUUCAAAAUAAUUAACAUGCUUCUAUAACUUUUCACAAUAUAUCCUCAAAAUAUUAUAAUCAUAAUAAUUAGGGCCUGCGAGACCCGAUACAUACUCAUACAAUUCAAUGCUUCAUUUCCAUUUCAUUUAAUUCGCAAUUUCUCAUGCUCACAAUUUAGAUCAUAUCACUAGCAAUUUCCAUUUAAUUCACGUACAAUUCAAUGUCACUAAGUUUAACACUAAUACGUAUUUACCAUUUAACUCAACGUUUAUCGAUUAUAUUAUUCAAUAACACAUUUAUGAAAUUCUUAAUUUUGCAAUGAAAAUAUCACUUUAGCUUAAAUAACAACAUCAUCCUGGUAUAAAUACACUACCACUUAUUCAUUUACUUUAAUUCAUUUGGGCCCAUUUGUCACUUACCAUCCUUAAUCAAAUUAGGGAACGGUUACGGAAAAUUGAGUACUUCACUUUCACUUUGCCAUAGUAUAACUAUGGUCUUACGUAUGUUCACUUAUCACUUGUCCCUGAUCAGAUAAGUGUAGCCACUUAUCACUUUGUUUCUUGAUCAGAUAAGUGUAGCUAAAGCUAUCACUUUUCACUUUUCACUUGUCACUUGAUCAGAUAAGUGUAGCCGAAACUAUCACUUAUCACUUUGUCUCUUGAUCAGAUAAGUAUAGCCGAAGCUAUCACUUAUCACUUUCCACUUGUCACUUGAUCAGAUAAGUGUAGCUGAAGCUAUCACUUAUCACUUUCCACUUGUCACUUGAUCAGAUAAGUGUAGCCGAAACUAUCACUUUUCACUUUGUCUCUUGAUCAGAUAAGUAUAGCCGAAGCUAUCACUUAUCACUUUCCACUUGUCACUUGAUCAGAUAAGUGUAGCCGAAGCUAUCACUUAUCACUUUCCACUUGUCACUUGAUCAGAUAAGUGUAGCCGAAGCUAUCACCUAUCACUUUGUCACUUGAUCAGAAGUACUCAAAUCCGGCGUUCCGCUCAAUUUGAUCAUUUAUUCAAUUUUCGUAUUUUUAUUUUAUUCUCAUUUCAUCAAUAAAUAUAUCUCAUCAUACAUUACAUAACUCAUGAAAUUAACAUUUAAUCAUUAAAUUUCGGCCAUAUGAACUUACUAUUUCAUUAUCUUACCACACUUGUUUCCUAUGCACAUUACACAAGAUAUAAACAUAUCAUUCAACCAUAGUCACAAGCUAGUAUAUUUAAACAUAACUCUUUUUGGAACUAACCACAUGAUAAACCAUUCAUGAAAUUAUUUCAUGCCAAAUCAUAUACCGAAUAUACGAUACACACAUACUAUGAAACUUUAUUUUCACACAUGAGCUUAAACCAAAACCAAUAAUGCACAAAUAUAAGCAUUAUUUCUAUUUCAUCGUUUAUCAAUUAUAAUCAAGCAUAUGACCAAUUAUACACAAAUCAUUCAUAUACUUCCCAAUUUUCCUCCUCCUCCUCUCCAUUCCACAUCCUUAACGUGUAUAACACACUUAAACAACAUUAGCUAUAAUUUCACUAUUCACUCACAUGUAUAUUCAAAGUUGUUUAUCCGAGUCAGAGUCGCUAAAUUAUUUUUAUCUGGAGCUACAGAGCUCCAAAUUAAGAUCCGUUAAUUUUCCCUGAAACUAGACUCACAUAUUCUUACCAUAAAAUUUUCAGAAUUUUUGGUUCAGCCAAAUAGUACAGUUUAUUAUUUAAAGUUUCUCCUAUUUUGCUGUCUGACAGUUCCGACCACUCUUCACUAAAAAUUAAUUAUCUCAUUGUACAGAAUUCGGAUAAUGUUUUUGUUUGUUUCUUAUAAAAAUAGACUCAUUAAGGAUUCUAAACAUAUAAAUUAUAACUCAUAAUCAUUUUUGUACGAUUUUUAAUGAUUUUCCAAAGUCAGAACAGGGGAACCCAGAUUCAUUCUGCCCUUGUCUCACAAAAUCUAUUAUAUCUCAUGAUUUACAAUUUCAUUACUUACACCGUUUUUUCUAUGAGAAACUAGACUCAAUAAGCUUUAAUUUCAUAUUUUAUUCACCCUCUAAUUCAAUUCCCACAAUUUUUGGUGAUUUUUCAAAGUCAGACCACUGCUGCUGCCCAAAACUGUUUAGUGUAAUAUAUUGAUUACCAAUUUGACUCUAAACUUUUAAUACAUGAUAAUUUCGUCCCUAGGCUUGGAAAAUGAAAUUCUUGCAAUAUAAUCCUUGAUUCAAGCCUAGUAUUUCUCAUACAUAUCAAUAACAGCCCAUAGAUUCCAUGAAAUUUUAGAAUUUCUCCAUGAUUUUAAUACUUUUCAAUUUAAUCCCUAAAACAUGUUUUCAUCUAAAAUUCUUUAAUAAAACACCUUUAAACAUCCAUUAACAUCUCAAUUUCAUCACAAAAUAACAACAAUCAUAUGAACUUAUCAUUAGUAUCUUCCAAAACUUUCAACAAAAUGAGAAACUAGUAGAAUACUAAGUUGGACCUAAUUGUAAAAGUCUAAAAAUAUAAAAAUUUCAAGGACAAAGCAAGAAUUAAACUUACUUGAAGCCAAAAUAUGGAAUACCAGCUCCAAACCCUCUUCCAUGGCUGUCUC
rnacentral:lncRNA from 1 species